AGAAUCUUCCGCAAUGGGCGAAAGCCUGACGGAGCGACACCGCGUGCAGGAUGACGGCCUUCGGGUUGUAAACUGCUGUCACGCUCUAGGAAUGCCGUAUCGUGAAUCGCGCUACGGUUGACCAAAGCGAGAGGACGCACCUGCUACCUCCGUGCCAGCAGCCGCGGUAAGACGGAGGGUGCAAACGUUGUUCGGAAUCACUGGGCCAAAAGAGCACGUAGGCGGGUCGUCAAGUCGGAUGUGAAAGCCCCCGGCUCAACCGGGGAAUUGCAUCCGAUACUAACGGGCUCGAGGAUGGUUGGGGUGAGUGGAACUCCAGGUGGAGCGGUGAAAUGCGUAGAUAUCUGGAGGAACACCGGUGGCGAAAGCGGCUCACUGGACCAUUCCUGACGCUGAGGUGCGAAAGCUAGGGGAGCGAAC
rnacentral:rRNA from 1 species